GACUACUGGGGUAUCUAAUCCUGUUUGCUCCCCACGCUUUCGUGCAUGAGCGUCAGUACAGGUCCAGGGGAUUGCCUUCGCCAUCGGUGUUCCUCCGCAUAUCUACGCAUUUCACUGCUACACGCGGAAUUCCAUCCCCCUCUACCGUACUCUAGCCAUGCAGUCACAAAUGCAGUUCCCAGGUUGAGCCCGGGGAUUUCACAUCUGUCUUGCAAAGCCGCCUGCGCACGCUUUACGCCCAGUAAUUCCGAUUAACGCUUGCACCCUACGUAUUACCGCGGCUGCUGGCACGUAGUUAGCCGGUGCUUAUUCUUCAGGUACCGUCAUUAGUUCAACGUAUUAAGUCAAACCGUUUCUUCCCUGACAAAAGUGGUUUACAACCCGAAGGCCUUCUUCCCACACGCGGCAUGGCUGGAUCAGGCUUGCGCCCAUUGUCCAAAAUUCCCCACUGCAGCCCCCCGUAGG
rnacentral:rRNA from 1 species